rnacentral:rRNA from 1 species
AUUGAACGCUGGCGGCAGGCCUAACACAUGCAAGUCGAAUGGUAACAGGAAACAGCUUGCUGUUUCGCUGACGAGUGGCGGACGGGUGAGUAAUGUCUGGGAAACUGCCUGAUGGAGGGGGAUAACUACUGGAAACGGUAGCUAAUACCGCAUAACGUCGCAAGACCAAAGAGGGGGACCUUCGGGCCUCUUGCCAUCAGAUGUGCCCAGAUGGGAUUAGCUAGUAGGUGGGGUAACGGCUCACCUAGGCGACGAUCCCUAGCUGGUCUGAGAGGAUGACCAGCCACACUGGAACUGAGACACGGUCCAGACUCCUACGGGAGGCAGCAGUGGGGAAUAUUGCACAAUGGGCGCAAGCCUGAUGCAGCCAUGCCGCGUGUAUGAAGAAGGCCUUCGGGUUGUAAAGUACUUUCAGCGGGGAGGAAGGGAGUAAAGUUAAUACCUUUGAUCAUUGACGUUACCCGCAGAAGAAGCACCGGCUAACUCCGUG